CAUCACUCCAGUCAGUGUGAUAACGUUACUGGUGAGAAGAACGCGGGAGUCACGCGCAGUUUGUACUUAAAACAGGUAUAAAGGAGCGUGGGAAAGGUGGUCAUCGCAUCAUGUUUAAGGGAGUACUGAAGAAAGGAGGAGGGAGAACCAGCGGAAGAGACGCAGGAAGUCCCGGUUAUCAUCACAGAUUUCAGGAGGAUGGUGUUGAGGCGGUACAGCCGUACCCGUCAGACGAGCUGCUGCUGAGACCCAGUUUAAGCAGAGGAGUGUCCGUCUCUCUCCCGUCCUCCCCGCUGCUCCCGCCCCGUCACCCGUGCGUCUCACCGGAACCUCACAAAU